rnacentral:rRNA from 1 species
CAGUAGCCGCGGUAAUACGUAGGUCCCGAGCGUUGUCCGGAUUUAUUGGGCGUGAAGCGAGCGCAGGCGGUUAGAUAAGUCUGAAGUUAAAGGCUGUGGCUUAACCAUAGUACGCUUUGGAAACUGUUUAACCUGAGUGCAAGAGGGGAGAGUGGAAUUCCAUGUGUAGUGGUGAAAUGCGUAGAUAUAUGGAGGAACACCGGUGGCGAAAGCGGCUCUCUGGCUUGUAACUGACGCUGAGGCUCGAAAGCGUGGGGCGCAAACAGGAUUAGAUACCCGAGUAGUCCCUGUCUCUUAUACA